rnacentral:rRNA from 1 species
GAUGAACGCUGGCGGCGUGCCUAAUACAUGCAAGUCGAGCGAACAGAUAAGGAGCUUGCUCCUUUGACGUUAGCGGCGGACGGGUGAGUAACACGUGGAUAACCUACCUAUAAGACUGGGAUAACUUCGGGAAACCGGAGCUAAUACCGGAUAACAUAUUGAACCGCAUGGUUCAAUAGUGAAAGGCGGCUUUGCUGUCACUUAUAGAUGGAUCCGCGCCGUAUUAGCUAGUUGGUAAGGUAACGGCUUACCAAGGCAACGAUACGUAGCCGACCUGAGAGGGUGAUCGGCCACACUGGAACUGAGACACGGUCCAGACUCCUACGGGAGGCAGCAGUAGGGAAUCUUCCGCAAUGGGCGAAAGCCUGACGGAGCAACGCCGCGUGAGUGAUGAAGGUCUUCGGAUCGUAAAACUCUGUUAUCAGGGAAGAACAAAUGUGCAAGUAACUGUGCACAUCUUGACGGUACCUGAUCAGAAAGCCACGGCUAACUACGUG